GGUCAGAUAGCACAGUGGUUAGUGCGCAGGUGUCUUGAUUAUGCAUGGAACCCGCUACCCUUGUUCAAUUCGGGGUCUGUCCU